rnacentral:lncRNA from 1 species
CGGAGCUGGGGCCGUCGCCCCAGCGAAGCCCUUCCGGCCCUGAGGGGAGGCCCAAGGCUACCUCCUCCCCGCCUCAGCUGCUCGAGGAAAGGCCUCCACCAUGAGAGCUCCCUGCUGCAAGGCCUCGCGUUUUGUUAACCUCCCUGUUUUUCCAGUGGGGCCGUCGCCCCAGCGAAGCCCUUCCGGCCCUGAGGGGAGGCCCAAGGCUACCUCCUCCCCGCCUCAGCUGCUCGAGGAAAGGCCUCCACCAUGAGAGCUCCCUGCUGCAAGGCCUCGCGUUUUGUUAACCUCCCUGUUUUUCCAGGCUGGGAGCAAGAAAGAAAGUCAGGUUCUGAGGGGGGAAAAGGAUUGGGGAGCUUUAGUGGAGAGCAGCUGCUCCUGCAAGCCAAAGACUGGCUCUGCCCAAGGGUCUCGGUUAACUCGGCUUUGCGGCCAGCACCUCGUUGUUUUGAAUCAGCUACAGAGUUUUUGAGAGAAGAGAUUAGCCUGCAGAAAUAUGAGCCCGGGCGAACGGUUACAGCCUGCCUUUAUCAAGGUUUUCCUGGUUGGACGCAAUUCCACCCUUCUUAA